UACGUAGGGUGCGAGCGUUAAUCGGAAUUACUGGGCGUAAAGCGUGCGCAGGCGGUUCGUUAAGUCAGAUGUGAAAGCCCCGGGCUCAACCUGGGAAUAGCGCUUAAGACUGGAGUGCUCGAGUGCGGAAGAGGUGAGUGGAAUUCCCAGUGUAGAGGUGAAAUUCGUAGAUAUUGGGAAGAACACCAGUGGCGAAGGCGGCUCACUGGUCCGCAACUGACGCUGAGGCGCGAAAGCGUGGGGAGCAAACAGG
rnacentral:rRNA from 1 species